rnacentral:rRNA from 1 species
UACGUAGGGUGCAAGCGUUGUCCGGAAUUAUUGGGCGUAAAGAGCUCGUAGGCGGUCUGUCGCGUCUGCUGUGAAAACUCAGGGCUCAACCCCUGAGCGUGCUUCCGAUACGGGCAGACUAGAGGUAUGCAGGGGGAGAACGGAAUUCCUGGUGUAGCGGUGGAAUGCGCAGAUAUCAGGAGGAACACCGGUGGCGAAGGCGGCAUCCUGGACCGGUAUUGACGCCUGAGGCGCGGAAAGCCAGGGGAGGCAAAACGGGG